rnacentral:rRNA from 1 species
GACGAACGCUGGCGGCGUGCCUAAUACAUGCAAGUAGGACGCAGUUGCGAACGGGGGAGUAACGCGUAGGGAACCACCCAUUAGAGGGGGAGAACUAUUGGAAACGAUAGCGAAUACCGCAUACUAGUAGAUGGACCUGCGUUGUAUUAGGUAAUAGGUAGGGUAAUGGCCUACCUAGGCAACGAUACAUAGCCGAACUGGGAGGGUGAUCGGGCACAAUGGGAAUGAGAAACGGCCCAGACUGCUGCGGGGGGCCGCCGUAGGGAAGCUUCGGGAAUGGGGCGAACCCUGACCGAGCAACGCCGCGUGGGUGAAGAAGGUUUUCGGAUCGUGAAGCUCUGUUGUUAAGGGAGCGGUACUUAACCAGAAAGGGACGGCUAACUACGUGCCAGCAGCCGCGGUAAUAC